WGARKKCGCCCUUAGAGUUUGAUCCUGGCUCAGAACGAACGCUGGCGGCGUGCUUAACACAUGCAAGUCGAACGUGAUCCAGAGCUUGCUCUGGUGAAAGUGGCGCACGGGUGAGUAACGCGUGGAUAACCUGCCCUGGUAUCUGGGAUAACAUCUCGAAAGGGGUGCUAAUACCGGAUAAGCCUCCGGGAUCUUCGGAUUCUGCAGGAAAAGAAGGCCUCUAUUUAUAAGCUUUCGUAUCAGGAUGGGUCCGCGUACCAUUAGCUAGUUGGUGGGGUAAUGGCCUACCAAGGCGACGAUGGUUAGCUGGUCUGAGAGGAUGAUCAGCCACACUGGAACUGAGACACGGUCCAGACUCCUACGGGAGGCAGCAGUGGAGAAUUUUGCGCAAUGGGGGAAACCCUGACGCAGCAACGCCGCGUGAGUGAUGAAGGCUUUCGGGUCGUAAAGCUCUGUCAGAGGGGAAGAAAUGGGUCGUGCUAAUAUCACGGCUUCUUGACGGUACCCUCAAAGGAAGCACCGGCUAACUCCGUGCCAGCAGCCGCGGUAAUAC
rnacentral:rRNA from 1 species